CCUACGGGAGGCAGCAGUGAGGAAUAUUGGUCAAUGGGCGCGAGCCUGAACCAGCCAAGUCGCGUGAAGGAUGACGGCCCUACGGGUUGUAAACUUCUUUUAUAAAGGAGUAAAGUGGGGCACGUGUGCGUUUUUGUAUGUACUUUAUGAAAAAGGAUCGGCUCACUCCGUGCCAGCCGCCGCGGUAAUACGGAGGAUCCGAGCGUUAUCCGGAUUUGUUGGGUUUAAAGGGAGAGUAGAUGGGUAGUUAAGUCAGUUGUGAAAGUUUGCGGCUCAACCGUAAAAUUGCAAUUGAUACUGGCAGUCUUGAGUACAGGUGAGGUAGGCGGAAUUCGUGGUGUAGCGGUGAAAUGCUUAGAUAUCACGAAGAACUCCGAUUGCGAAGGCAGCUUACUAACCUGCCACUGACACUGAUGCUCGAAAGUGUGGGUAUCAAACAGGAUUAGAUACCCGAGUAGUC
rnacentral:rRNA from 1 species